GUCGAGCGGGGUUUUCGGACCUAGCGGCGGACGGGUGAGUAAUGCGUAGGAAGCUGCCCGAUAGAGGGGGAUACCAGUUGGAAACGACUGUUAAUACCGCAUAAUGUCUACGGACCAAAGUGUGGGACCUUAGGGCCACAUGCUAUCGGAUGCGCCUACGUGGGAUUAGCUAGUUGGUGAGGUAAUGGCUCACCAAGGCGACGAUCUCUAGCUGGUUUGAGUGGAUGAUCAGCCACACUGGAACUGAGACACGGUCCAGACUCCUACGGGAGGCAGCAGUGGGGAAUAUUGGACAAUGGGCGCAAGCCUGAUCCAGCCAUGCCGCGUGUGUGAAGAAGGCCUUCGGGUUGUAAAGCACUUUCAGCGAGGAGGAAGGGUGGUGUGUUAAUAGCACAUCAUUUUGACGUUACUCGCAGAAGAAGCACCGGCUAACUCUGUGCCAGCAGCCGCGGUAAUACAGAGGGUGCAAGCGUUAAUCGGAAUUACUGGGCGUAAAGCGCACGUAGGCGGUUUUUUAAGUCAGAUGUGAAAGCCCCGGGCUCAACCUGGGAAUUGCAUUUGAAACUGGGGAACUAGAGUGUGUGAGAGGGGGGUAGAAUUCCAAGUGUAGCGGUGAAAUGCGUAGAGAUUUGGAGGAAUACCAGUGGCGAAGGCGG
rnacentral:rRNA from 1 species